rnacentral:rRNA from 1 species
UGGGGAAUAUUGCACAAUGGGGGAAACCCUGAUGCAGCAACGCCGCGUGAAGGAAGACGGUUUUCGGAUUGUAAACUUCUGUUCUUAGUGAAGAAUAAUGACGGUAGCUAAGGAGCAAGCCACGGCUAACUACGUGCCAGCAGCCGCGGUAAUACGUAGGUGGCAAGCGUUGUCCGGAAUUACUGGGUGUAAAGGGAGCGUAGGCGGGAUGCCAAGUCAGCUGUGAAAACUACGGGCUUAACCUGUAGACUGCAGUUGAAACUGGUAUUCUUGAGUGAAGUAGAGGUUGGCGGAAUUCCGAGUGUAGCGGUGAAAUGCGUAGAUAUUCGGAGGAACACCGGUGGCGAAGGCGGCCAACUGGGCUUUAACUGACGCUGAGGCUCGAAAGUGUGGGGAGCAAACAGGAUUAGAUACCCUGGUAGU